ACAGAAGCAGAGCCUGCCUGUGAAGCUCUUUGUUUUCCUUGAACGCCUCUUUGGAUUUUUACAUGGGCUGUUCAUUCUGGAUUAGAAACCUGUGGUUGGCAUUUGUGAACUUUCUCCAUACCCGGUAAGGUACCCGUGGAGAAUCCAAAGACGGAGGGAUUGAACUUCCUCAGAAUGUCUUUAAAGAUCAGUGGGACAGAGAGCACAGGUGAAAGGAGGCAGAAGGCCCUGGCCUCAGUGGGGGAAAGAUGGCUUCUCUGUGCUGGUUACUUACUGGGCAGUGUGGUGUGAGUCUCCAAGGCCCCAUCUCCUCCAAUACUGGGGAAGAACAAGGAACUUGGUUGAAAACACCCUGACUUGCUUCUUCAUGUCUCAUCACCCAGAGAAUCUGCCCCAGAGCAUCACCAACCCACCAGCCUCAGGGCUAACGGAAGCAUCAUGGCAUCCUCUGGGGUCUCAGCAUGGGGCCGUGGGACCUGACUUCACUCUUGGAGGGAAUUCGUUCUUCCUCUUUGGGGGAGGCAUUGUCUACAGAGAACAAGCCAAGAACAGCCUCACCUCCAGGAGAGGCCCCUCCAGGACGUGAGCGGGUUGCUUGGUCUGGCUCCCAUCGCCGUCUGUGAAAAGCAAAGAGGAGCCUCCAGGUGGCUGCUGGGCCCAGCUGCAGAGCAAGGGCACUGGGAGAGGCCCCUCUGGCCCUGGGGUAUAGCCAGGACCCAGAUUUGUCCCUCCUGAAAAUGACACUGGCUUUUCUCCAGGCCACGCUAAGCUCCAGAUUGCCUCGUUCUUCUCCCCAGACCUCUUCCAACAGCCAGGAACCAAGUCUUGUGGAUUCUUGUCUCCCAGCCUCCCUGGCACCUGUGCCUGUCUUUUGCUCUCUGUGCCAUAUUUCUGGAUGAGAGUCUCAGCUCCCUGCUGUGGGCAGCACCCUGGACCCCUGCCUGACCUCCCAUCUCCUCUCUGUUCCCUUCCCACCAGCCGGGCUGCCGUCUGCUCCUCUGAGCAUCUCUCUCUACAAGCCUCCUCUGUGCCCAGCACACCUCUGACCCUUCAAAGCAUCUUUCAUACCUUCAGGGUCAAGGCCAAAUGCUCAUCCAUGUGGACACCAUCAUCUGGUACCCACUUUCCUUCCCUUUGUUUCCUCUUUCCUUCCCUGUCCACACAAACCAUCAGGCUAAGCAAAUUGAUCUGUCACUGUUUCCCAGACAUGAGGGCCUUGCUGCUCUGCCCUGUCCCCUGCCCACCCGCUCCAUCCUUCCUGAAGGGCUGAGCACCCUCCUUCCCAGCUCCUCAAACCUCCAA